AUUGAACGCUGGCGGCAUGCUUUACACAUGCAAGUCGAACGGUAACAGGCCGCAAGGUGCUGACGAGUGGCGAACGGGUGAGUAAUGCAUCGGAACGUGCCCAGUCGUGGGGGAUAACGCAGCGAAAGCUGCGCUAAAACCGCAUACGACCUAUGGAUGAAAGCGGGGGACCGAAAGGCCUCGCGCGAUUGGAGCGGCCGAUGUCAGAUUAGGUAGUUGGUGGGGUAAAGGCUCACCAAGCCAACGAUCUGUAGCUGGUCUGAGAGGACGACCAGCCACACUGGGACUGAGACACGGCCCAGACUCCUACGGGAGGCAGCAGUGGGGAAUUUUGGACAAUGGGCGCAAGCCUGAUCCAGCAAUGCCGCGUGCAGGAAGAAGGCCUUCGGGUUGUAAACUGCUUUUGUACGGAACGAAACGGUCCUGGUUAAUACCCGGGGCUAAUGACGGUACCGUAAGAAUAAGCACCGGCUAACUACGUGCCAGCCGCCGCAGUAACAC
rnacentral:rRNA from 1 species